UACGUAGGGGGCAAGCGUUGUCCGGAUUCAUUGGGCGUAAAGAGCGUGUAGGCGGCCAGGUAGGUCGGUUGUGAAAACUGGAGGCUCAACCUUCAGAGGUCGACCGAAACCAUCUGGCUAGAGUCCGGGAGAGGAGAGUGGAAUUCCUGGUGUAGCGGUGAAAUGCGCAGAUAUCAGGAAGAAUAUCCGUGGCGAAGGCGGCUCUCUGGGACGGUACUGACGCUGAGACGCGAAAGCGUGGGGAGCGAACAGG
rnacentral:rRNA from 1 species